CUACUUUAAAUAAAUAACCUUCUUUACUGCUUAAUGAAGAAUAAUGAACUAUGCACGUCAUUAUGGGAUGAAGAACAGGGAGUAAAGACAGAAUUUCUCACUGUAGCAAGAUGGCAGACUAAGAAAUAUUUAACACUAUCACUGUUCCCUGAAGCCUCCUCAGAAGCCGAGCAAAUGCCAGUGCCACGCUUGUACAGCCUGCAGAACUGUCAGCUAAUUCAACCUCUUUCUUUUUUAACUACCCAGUCUCAGGUAUUCGUUUAUAGCCACGCAAAAAUGGCCUAAAACAUCCUUUUCCCUCCUACUGAAUCUGGAUAAACCUAUGACUGUUUUGACCAACAGAAUACAGAGCAGUGUGUAUUUCUCUCAUUCAGCCAUGUAUUCACUUAAUGACUACAUAAUGAAUGCCUUCUGUGCCAAGGAAUAUAACUACUCAUUUAUUAACACCAAGUCCUGAAGAUAUGGCAUUCUUUUACUCAAUUUUCAUGAUCAUCACAUACCUUAGUGAAAAAUUAAAAUCAUGAUGUUUCAGUUAAGGAAUCUAAGAUGCUGUGCUUAACAAAAUUGCUGAAGUUACCACAAAUCUUUAUAACAGUCAUACUGUCAAGGACCUCCAGCUAAAACCACCAA
rnacentral:lncRNA from 1 species